rnacentral:rRNA from 1 species
UACGAAGGGGGCUAGCGUUGUUCGGAAUCACUGGGCGUAAAGCGCACGUAGGCGGAUGUGCCAGUCAGGGGUGAAAUCCCGGAGCUCAACUUCGGAACUGCCUCUGAUACAGCACGUCUUGAGUCCGGAAGAGGUGGGUGGAAUUCCUAGUGUAGAGGUGAAAUUCGUAGAUAUUAGGAAGAACACCGGUGGCGAAGGCGGCCCACUGGUCCGGUACUGACGCUGAGGUGCGAAAGCGUGGGGAGCAAACGGG